GAUGAACGCUGGCGGCGUGCCUAAUACAUGCAAGUCGAGCGAAGCGGGGGCGGGGGAGUAACACGUGGAUAACCACCCAUAAGACUGGGAUAACUUAGGGAAACCGGAGCUAAACCGGAUACUUAAAGCUGGAUCCUCGCUGCAUUAGCUAGUUGGUAAGGUAACGGCUUACCAAGGCAACGAUUCAUAGCCGACCUGAGAGGGUGAUCGGCCACACUGGAACUGAGACACGGUCCAGACUCCUACGGGAGGCAGCAGUAGGGAAUCUUCCGCAAUGGGCGAAAGCCUGACGGAGCAACGCCGCGUGAGUGAUGAAGGUCUUCGGAUCGUAAAACUCUGUUAUUAGGGAAGCGGUACCUAAUCAGAAAGCCACGGCUAACUACGUGCCAGCAGCCGCGGUAAUUC
rnacentral:rRNA from 1 species